rnacentral:lncRNA from 1 species
CGUCUCCCUCCUUUUCUUUCUUCCUCUUCCUCUUAUUUCUCGCACAGCUCGACCUGGACACGCCUCCGUGUCCUCUGUCCGUCUUGCUGCUGCUGCAGCUGAACAGAUGAUUUGUUUCAGUGCUCAGAUGCGUGAUCUACUUUAAGCCGACAUACGGAUAUUAUAAUAUUCAGUUUUGUGAGCCAAAUUUAUUUUAUAUGCCAACAUCUAUGAAAGAAAGAGCCAGGCCACGGAGCGCGAUGCGUCAUUUACGCACAGAUGGUUCCGAUUUUAAUGCCAUUUUUGGAGUUUAUGUUGUGAUCUGUGCGCUCAACCCACCUUUGUUACGUGAGGUUUGAAUAUGAGCAACUUUAUGUGAGUGUCUUUAUUUGUGGAAAAGGGUGUUUGUCUUACCAGUGGGUCCAACAUUACGCACACUAAAUCCAUCUGUGCUCAUAUGAGAGAGUGUGGAGGACACUUGUUGAGGAGCUGCCCUCUGUCGCCAUCUUGUGGCAUUACUGUCUUAAGACAUCUCUUGAUCUCUUUGACUACUUCAUGAAAAUAGUAAUACGCCUCGCCUGUGGCGGAUUUAAAGGCAAGGAGAGGAGCCUAUGUGAUUGGUGAAAACAGGUCUCGGCUGUGUUAAACCGACUUCACGCCCUUUCUCCUCCCCGUUACGACUUAUGGUGCUGGGAGGAGCUGAGUUAGGGAGGGGGGAUACUUACGCUGGGCUGCGCGGCUCACCAAAAUACCAAAAUGUGCUUGGGAACGCCUUGUCAGCGCGGCGGAUCUGACUGACGCUGCACUUGCGGCACGUCUCCGGCGAGGCACCAAAAUAGAGCCCUAUGACUUUAUUAGUCCUCUAAGCUAAAAUGGUGGACUUUUAUGCUAGGUUUUUGACCUCAUUUUGCAGCUCAUAGAUACCAAAACUGAUGUAUUAAACAAAUUUAAAAUGAUCUUUUUUGGUCUUAAAACAAUUCUAAUGAAACGUAUGACAGACUAAAUUCACUUUGAAGAGUGACAAAUGUUUUUUUGUAAAUAAAUGUCUAACCCCUUCGCCCAUGUGCUUCUAACCUUCACAGACUCAAUGAAUUGAUGCCCAUUACCUCAAAAUUUGGUCACAUGAUCAAUUUCUUUUACCAUUUCCAAGCAACAGGGGGUGGCUCAACUUACCCUUUGGCUCAACUUACCCCACUCUCCCCUAAUUGCCAACACAUUUUUGUACAGUGAUUUGUGACAGUGACUUUUCACAUGUUCUUGGCAUGUUGGGUGGGUUUUAAAGAAAACAAUCAUGAUUUAAAUCAAUUAAAUACCGUGAAAUGAUAUUUUUGUGCUUGACGUCAUCCACACACACAUACAGCACCAUAAACAGUACUGUGUAGAUUAGCUUGACUUAGUGGCUACUAUGGGCACAGCUACAAGGCUAUUUUAGACAGAAAUACAACCAUUUAAUUCUAUUACUUGCACUAAUAUCUGUGUCACACCCAGUACACUGUAUAAUCAGCAUGUUUUUUUAGUGAAGGAGCCCACUCAAGAUGAUGUAUAAUUUCUUGGCUUUGCGUCUCGUUCACCUUCUUUUCCAGGCUUUAUAUCUCAUGAGAUUUGAACAUGUAGAUAUUUUUCUCUCAGCACCCCAUUCUCAUAGAAAAUCAGCUGUCAAUUGACUAUGAUACGGAAGAGUGACAGGCAAGGCAAUACAUUAACAAUACAUCUGCAGUAUCUCCGGAUGAAUAUAAAUACAUUGAUGUCUUAUUACUUUGUGCCACACAGAUACAAUUGUGUCAUAUGAAAAAAACGACUAGCUGCCUUGACUUCACCUAAUAUAUGUCACACUAUGUGUUUUAGCGAAAAAGAAGGAAGUAUUUGCAUAGUGAAGAUAAGUUUAAAUUGUUCUUUCCUUUUUUUAUAAAUGCACUACUCCCAGGGCACAUCAGCAAACCUCACUUUAGGUUGAGAACAAAGCACCACUGACUGAUUGCUUUUGACCGUUAUCGUCGCCCAUCUGAUCACCUCCAUCAUCUCCUUUUGUCAUGUGCAAAACAGCAAAAUACAUUUGGGAACACACCUGUCAGCACAGCUUCUGUGUGCAGCCUUUACUCAAACGGUCCCGCUGCUUCAAACAUCAGACACACAGCCCCUUGCCUUGCAAAAGUUCUAUUUUCUCCUUGAGUAGUUUGCCUCUCAUCUUUCUACAUGCCUUUAAGUGAGGCUUUCCUUCCAGAAACAGACAGUUAUUUCAGAGCUGUGAACAUUUUUCAUACUUGGCUUGAAUUUUUUUUUCUCCCUUCCAGUCAUGGUGCAUAUUGCUAUUCAACAUGUUUUGAUUUUCUCUGGCGAUUUAAGCUCUGCAUGUGUUGUUGUGAGCGAUAGAACUGGAAAAUGGAAUUUGAAAUCACCAAAGAUGAGAUUCAUGGCAGAUUUGGGAUUAGUCUAAUCAGCUUAAAAAAUUUGUGUGUUUCGGCACUACUGGUAUUUUAGUAAUGAAAAGGUUGAAACCCCAGUUUUAUUUAUUUCUAUGCUAAGUGAAGCCAAAGAAACCAGAUCCUCAUUGGUAAGCUUUGUAAUAAGCUGGAUCAAAUCUACGACAAAUAAAACAGUUGUUCAUGCCUUUUUCUCAGAAUAUGUUUUUACUGUUUAAUAAGCAUGUUUUGCUUUAUAUAGAGUAAGACUUUUGUGUUUACACAGUAGCAGGUUUCACUCUGCAGAGCCUACUGCCUUGAAUAUCUAUGUGUCAACAAAAGCACAUAAUGACAACAUGCGGGCAUUAUUCAGUGCAGUACAAAAUACACCAGCUAGAAGUAAAAAAGGCAGAGAUUGGUUGUUGUGCACAAAAUUUGUCGAUUUUUUAAUGAUAAAAAAAGUUGAAUGAUAAAAGAUCUUCCUGCCCUUAGAGGCACUGACAUCACCGACAGGAAGGGUGAGCAAGGAAGGAUUUCUAUCUAGAAUCUGAUUGCUGAUAUGGCUGAAUAUUCCUGUUUCCUCCAAUUGUAACUUUAAAAUGCAAUAACACAGAACCACUUCUUCCGAGCUGAAUCUCCAGAUCUUGUAUCUAAUCAUUUCGUAUUCAAUCCUUAUUACCCUAAACAUGAUAAUGUCCAGAUACAGGAAAAUGUUGGAUGGCUUAGAGAAGCCUGAUUGAGAUACUCUGGAAACCUUAUGAUAAAUUCUGAAGGUGAGAACAGCAACAAAAAAACCCUGAAAGUUCUGUAUAAGACCGGAGAAACAAUGACACCAACACCUCAAACUGUCAGGAAAAAAAGUAGGAAAAGGCUUGCGGAUAUUUGAGGAAGAGCUAAGCAGUAUAAAAAUGCUCUCUGGGCAAGAAACCGACCUGCAAGGCUUGGCGGUGCAAGCAGUCGUGUUCAGAGUUUGAGUUUCAAGAUCCCAAAACCAAUUCACUCCAAGCACCCCAUGUGGUGCUCAAGUCAAGAAUCCACUUGAUGUUCGCUGCUCUUAUGAGGCCCUUCUUAUGAAGUAGCAUAAUCAUUAUGUGAGCAAGAUGUUUGCGGUAAAUAACUUAGCAGGAGGGCUGGAAGCAAUGGCAGAAAACCCAAAACUGGAUCAGAAAACUCAACUAAAAAGGGGAUUAAGAGCCCUGUGAUAUAAGAGUUUGUCAUGAAUGCUAUCAUCCAAGCUAUGACUGUGACAGCAAUACAUGUUUCCUUUGAAAAGUACAAUGCAUGCACAAUAUGUUCUGAUGUGAUAAUAAAAGCAUAGUUUCCACAUUAUUUGCUUGCGCUACUUUACUAUCAAAACACUUUACUUGAUGAUUGACAUGCUGGCCUUAUUUGUGUCGCCAGACAAACAUUAAGUGAAGGAAAAAGAAAAUGGCUCUUACUUCUUUGGUUCACUACUUUUCUACUCUGUCAAAACAUUACAUUCUUUUUUUCAGUGUUCUUUCUCUACUUUCCAACACUGCAACAACAUUUCUGUGCUCUCUUCACUCUGUGCAACUUUACAGAAACAGUCAUAUGAAAGCCUCCUACACAUUUGCAAAACCUUAGCUGCAUCAUGUGUCUCACAGAAAGCCCAACGGCUCUGCCCCAAAAUCCGAGAAACAAAGGGAUGGAGAUGGAAAGAGAGAGAGGGAGGGAGAGAGAGAGGAGGAGGAGGAUAACACAGAUUAUGCGCUGCUUUUUUUUACCCUAGGAGGCACUGUUGUUCUUACAUUGAGGAAAGCUGGAUAAGAUGGCCAAUGCCAUCUUAUCAUACCAGCUCCUUUUGUGUGGAGACAGAGUAAACAUAAGGUAAUACAACCAGAGAUAUUACACAUUACUCCGGACAAGCCUGACCCAAGAGCUUGAAUGCAGUUCUAACCUGCAUGCACCAAACUGCUCCUCUAUGUAUUUGUACAUAAACACAAACUACUCAUACCAGGGGACAUACCUUAUACUGUGUAUAAAUGUGUGUAUGUAUAAAUGCAAUGUUACAUUUUUGGCCAAAAGCAUAAUUAAAUGGCAUUUAUGUUACUCAUGUGUUAAAUCCAGUUUUAGGUCUCAUUAACAGGUGCACAGAGCCAAAACCUCUAAUUUGUUCUGCUGGUUUGCGGUAUGAAACUGACAGGGGAAAGUCAAAUGAAACCUGUGCCAGUGUGUCCUUUGUCCCCUUGAGCUCCUGUGCUACCACAGACUGACAGGUCUUAGUUCUUCCUGAUCUGUGAGCAUGAGCGACAGCCACUGAUCCUGCCUGGAGUGGCGCCACUUACAUCACUGGCAGUGCCCAGAAUUUUUUCCCCCCAAAACAGAAAAGUCAUUGAAGAGGUUAAACGUUUAGCUCAGUGCAGAGGGGAAACAGGCAGAUCUGGUUGAGGACCUGAACAGGGGCAGGGGAUGUGUCUUCUUCCAGGGCGAGGUGCCAGCUGGAAUGGGGUUCACAAUUACAGGCUUCUAUCCAUUUCAUGUUAGCUGUGCUUGGUCUCAGCUUUGAGCCGGGAAUGAGCCUCGAACAGCUGGUUCAUAAGGCAAGACAUUUUUCAGGGCACAAAUAACAUCUCAUAAUUGCAGGUUAGAUGGUACACAGAGCCUGGCAUGUAAUUGGUUGCAUUUAUAAAGAUUUGCAACAUGUUAUUUGGGAAUAAUCUGGCCUUCUUCACCUCAUAGUAUAAAGUGAAACAACACCCACACACAAGACAAUGCACUAACCAUCUCACCUUAAGUAAAUGUGCUACCUUUAACUAGUGAGAUAAAGGAGCCUGGAAAGAAUAAUAAAUUAAGUCUAAUAGAUGCAGAACCACUUCAUGUGUCAAGACAAUUAAAAUUACAUUGUGUAUAAACAGUUCAGACCAGCCCUUGCUGUAAAGCUGCUGUUCUGUGAGUAUCUACACAGGAUGUAGGGGCAGUAUAUAUAGGCAUAGACUGUAUAUACAAUGGACAACUUGGUUCUGCCUUCUGUCGUUACACAAAUUUGAGGCCAAAAAGCUCUCAGGAUUUCUUGGAUUUUCUCCACUUCCUGGAACCACCACUUGCACAGUAGCAUUGUACACAUUCGGCGGGAGAGUCACUGUGAUGAAAUAGCCUACAAUAGCCUUGUAGCUGUGCCCAUAGUAGCCACUAAGUCAAGCUAAUUUACACAGUACUGUUUAUGGUGCUGUAUGUGUGUGUGGAUGACGUCAAGCACAAAAAUAUCAUUUCACGGUAUUUGAUUGAUUUAAAUCAGGAUUGUUUUCUUUAAAACGCACCCCACAUGCCAGGAACAUGUGAAAAGUCACUGUCACAAAUCACUGUACGAAAAUGUGUUGGCAAUUAGGGGAGACUGGGGUAAGUUGAGCCACCCCCUGUUGCUUGGAAAUGGUAAAAGAAAUUGAUUGUGUGACCAAAUUUUUAGGAAAUGGGCAUCAGUUCAUGGAGUCUGUGAAGGUUAGAAGCACAUGGGUGAAGAGGUUAGACAUUUAAUUCCAAAAAAACAUUAUAUACUCUUCAAAGUGAAUUUACUCCAUCAUAAGUUUCAUUAGAAUUGUGUUCAGACCAAAAAAGAUAAUUCUAAAUUUGUUUUGGACAUCAAUUGUUGUACCUAUGAGCUUCAACACGAGGUCAAAAACCUAGCAUAAAAGUCCACCAUUUUAGCUUAGAGGACUAAUAAAGUCAUUAUAGUAGUUCUGUAUGAUGAGAGGAUCAGAGUGUCAGUUCAGCUUGUUGAAAUGUCUUACUUUUUCUUUUAAAAAAUACAUGACGCUCGGCUCGAACAGUGUAUCCCCCAGUCGAGCUACGCAAGCUUCAUACGCCCAUAGGCUGUAUCAAGUGCCAAUCGUGGAAAACAUGAACCCCCUAAUAGCUUUGAAAAUGGAGCUGUACAGAAAAAAGAGGACUUGAGCACAAACUAGUCUUAAGCUGCGUUCAGACCAAACGCGACCUCGGCGACCUGAGCAAGGACUCCCAAUGCAAAGUUUAUGUACAGCCACGACCUGACGCGACUUGGCAACCGCCGGCUGCCGGCGAUGCAACGUUAGCAACCAGGUCGCGCAUGGUCGCCGAGGUCGCGUCGCCCGUGGUUGCAGGACGCCAAGUCUCGUUGCUCCCUUUGGGACUUUCCGCGACGCUGUGCCACGACAGCCAAUCAGGGCUCUGCUGACGUCAACAAACCGGCGAAGCAAGGAGGAGGAGAAGAAGAAUCACAAUGGAGGAGCAGCUUAUGACUGCCGUGAGUUAUCACCCGGUCCUGUGCGACAGGGGGUGCGCAUUCUACUGGGACCGCACCUCCAAGGAGGAGGCAUGGGCGAAAGUGGCCCAUGAUUUCGGGCUUUCUGGUAAGUUUGUUUAUUUAUUUCAGUGAGCAGACUAUUUUCUGAAAACAUAGCAAACUUCCCCUGCUUGCUAGGCUACAUGUUUCAACGUGUGUGUGUGUGUGUGUGUGCCGCAAGCACUGGAAGGGGCUGCGGGAUGUAUAUAUGAGGGAGAAAAGGAGGGAGAAGGAAGGUGGGAGAAGCGGGUCAGCGGCGAUCAGCCGCGUCCUGCGACCUCUGCGACUGCAGCUUUGGACCCGGUGUAAACACACCAGGACGCGACGGGAAUACAGCGACCAACGCGACUAGGUCACUUCAGGUCGCGUUUGGUCUGAACGCGGCUUUACAAUAGCUACAUGUCAACAUUGCAAGCAGGGGGGAGAAGAUUUAAUAUUUUGUGUAAUAAAUUUCUAAAGUUUGUCCACAGCUCCAUAGGGAUUGCUGGAGGAGGCGGGAUUCAUGACCUAUACUGCAGCCUGUCACCAGAGGGUGCUGUUCUCACGGUGGCUUCACCCAGCACAGCGUCUAUUCUGUAUACAGUCUAUGGUUAUAGGUCACUCGGGAGAGCUUAGAUCUGCUCUGAUCAGCUGAAUUGAAUAAACUAGAAGUGUAUCUAUUCAAGAUGCAUGAAAUGUGAGACCAUCGAAACACCUCAUGGAUGCAAUGUUGGAUAACUGUCUUGCCUCUCAGUCAUUAUCUUUUUUGAGAAAGCCAAACAUGUCUUCUAGUCCUGUGUUAAAAGAGCUUAUCAAAUCUGUAUCUGUCUCUACUGCAUUUGAACUCCAAACUUGAGAGAUAAACAGCACUUGCCUGUUAGAGCUGCACCCAAGAGAUCUUUUGGACCAUUUCCUCGAGCCCUUUACGGAUACACCUGACUGUCACACCAUCAAGUCGCUCUGGCACAGUUUCCCCUACAUCUGCUUGUUGUUUUUUUUCUGCAGGGCCAGAAAACAUCAGUGUUAGCCAUGUUGAUGUUCAUGAUGCCAAGUAAAGAGAAUCAUCUGGCGCACAAAAACAAAUAGGAGGAUUUUCUACAUUGAAAAUUAAUGGAUGGUCUUUAUUUCUCUCAAAAGUAAAGGCGGGGAAAUGUUGACAGAGCAAGACAGUGGACAAACAUAGUUUCACAACUAUCUCUGUUCAUCUUUUGUCAUUCAGACAGAUAUUGUGUUUGUUUUAAAGCUGUUAAGAGUCAGCUGACUGAAGAUCAGUGGUGAAUGCUCCUUUCAAAAAGGCCUCUUGAACUAAACUUUGUCAUUAUUCCCUCAUGGGAAUGAAAGGAUGUAACACAACUACAAAUUGAUUGUUAAUCAGAAAGUGACAUAUAUUAAAACAUGCCGAUGAUGUCCAACAACUUGGGUAGAAGUUAACGCAGCUGCUCAAAAGAAUACAAAAUACUGCGGUGAGUUCAAGACCUCAGUCAGGACACCGAAAGAGAGACAGAGAGAUAGGAGUGACAGGAGAGGGAGGAAGAAAGGGGGGCUGUAGGCCUUGGUAUUAAAUAGACACUCAACAGACAUCUCAACAGAUGUGUGUAUUAAUAAGUUGGCGUGGUAUUUGAAUGCCUCAUAUCCACCAUCUUGAAGAGAUAAGUGAUGCGAAGUUGUGAUUAAGAAAUAGAGCCAGGGUUGUAUUCCCUAAAUCCACUCUUCAGAAUGUUCUCAGGUUUGUAAUUUGCAUGGGGAAGGAUUCUUAUUAACAUACCAUCUCACAGAUUUUAAACUGCAGUGUGGUGGCCACUGUACUUACAAGUGUGUGAGCCCUUUCAUACAUUUUAUCUGAGCAGACUGGUUAGGUAAGGUUUGGUAUAGUGUGGCACAGAAACCUUCACCUUUGCUGGCAUUUCAACAGUUAAGUGUACCCAGCCUUGAUGUUUCAGGCAGAGAGCUGCAUGACAGCUUGAUUUUUGGCUCGCAUGUUAAGAUAUGAAUGUGUUCAGACUCUCAGUGAGGAGUGCAUCUCACCAUCUUUAUUCCUCAAGGUGUUAUCUAUUCCAACAAUACGCAUUAAAUUCUAUGAUGAGGGCUGUAUUAGCUCUGUCUCAGCUCUGCUAGUGUCACAAGCAUGAGAAAUAUGUAACUUCUUAGAUACUUUUCAAAGUAAAAGCCUGAUUUUUUUUUCUUCAUCUAUGAAAGACUCCCCUGGGUUUUGGAAAACUAUUUAUCUUAAAGUUGAACUACACAAUGAGUUAAAAAAAAAAAAAAAAAAGUGUACUAUUAACAUUUUUUAUUUUUUUACUAUCUUUCUAUAUUUUUUCCCCCUCCCUCAUUUACAAAUAUGUUGCAGCCUCUUUUGCCAUAUAAAUAAGUAUGGCUCAGUAUUUCAUUCAUUAGUUAUACUUAUCAGGUAGGUAACAACAUGGUAUUGGCAAAUAAUACAUAAAAGAAAUAUAUUAAAGCAUCACAAGAGGUCAAAUCUAUAUUGACCUGGUCAGCUGGGCCAGAGGAAACAACAUGCUUACAACAGGUUGUUUUGUCUUUCUGUGGUCCAUUUCCUGCUAAUUUAGAAAUAAUUCAGUGACCGUUGAGCCUCUACUGUAUGUAAAAAAGCAACCUGAUUUUACAGUUUCAGUUUUGGCAGGUUUACGUGCGUUUAAUAAUGUAAACUAUGUUCCUUUAUGCUGUGCUGUUACCCUCAGACUGAGUUAGCAGCAAAAGUCCUGUUAGGGUCCACAUGGAUCAGGGAUUGACCAUCGGAUUGUUCUGUGUUACUAAUAAAUCCAUAACCAGGAAGUAUUUCUCAUCUACACAAAGUGAUACACAGUCGGGAGUUCGCAUAUGGUGUUUUAUUUUGAAAUUUCCCGAAUGACAUGCGUGGUUUCUGUGCUUUACAUCUUGUCUAGAACAAUCAUCUGUGUAGAUUGAUGCGUUGGAAGCGUAGAGCAGCAAAAAUAGACUUGGCGCGUAUCUUUAGCAGAGCCUCGCUCAACAAGCUUGUAAUACAGAGCUGUGACAGAGCUGAUACGGGCCCGUGUGCGAUUAUGCGUUGAUUACAAUGGCAAUCUAUUUGCUGCGUAAUACGCGUCGCUGACGGAAGGUGUUCAAUAAGGAUCCUGUAUGCUUCAGCCUUUAGUCUGUAAUUCUAUCUAGCAGUACUUUAAAAACAGCCGCUGAUUGGUUAAUGUGUUCUGAGCAUACAGCAGCCAAGUCUCCCAGUGUUUCUGCUGCUGCUUGCGCCCCUUCCUGCCAUUUCACAUAUCACUGUGUAGUCCCCUGGGCCACCUGCAUCUCCUCCAGUUUGAGCUGACUGGUAUGCUGCUCAGCCACCUGAAUCACCUGUUAACAGCAGACUUUGCAGUCAUGUUGGGUGAGGAGCUCCUAAUGUGUGUGUGUGUGUGUGAGAGAGAGAGAGAGAGAGAGAGAGAGAGAGAGAGAGAGAGAGAGAGAGAGUGUGUGUAUGUGUGUGUGUGUGUGUGUGAUAUUCUGACAGCGUUUAAGAUUGACUUAAGCAUUCCCACCUGUGACAGCCAACUGGCAAACAGAUCACUUACCACUUAUUUGAGGAACCUGUGAGUAGAACAAACAUGCUGGCUAAGCAGCACAGGAGCUGAAAUCCAGAAUUAUAACCAAUUCAGACAGUGCUUCCAACACUUAUACUGUGAACCAUAUACUGUGGUUAUUAAUGAUCACUUUUUUGCACAUUAAAAUACUGUCCUCAUAUGGCUUGAGAAAUCAUUCAGAGGAAGAUUAGGACAGAAAGUAAUCCUUCAUGUUCACCAAGAAUUUUGCUAUGAAUAUCCUGAACAACAACUGUAAGAAUAUUUCUUUUAUCUGGUAAUGAAAAGGAGUCAAACAUUUGCAGAGCUUUUAAAAAAAUUCAACAUUGCCAAAAUCAUCUCAAGACUGGUCUUCCUCAUGUUUAAGUAAGAUUGAAACAAAUGUUGUCAUAAGGCAAUAAGUCAACCCAAACAACCACUGCUGCACACCUUCAGGCAGAUUUCCGUGCAGGCAGUGACUGUAAUGUGCUGUUAUAUGGCUGUGCAAGCACGGAAGAAAAAAACAAAAACAAACUAAAAAUUGGAUUAGGACCCAAAUACAGACAGCCAAGGCACAGCUGAAUAAAGAGGAACAAGAGGUAUGAAACAAAGGAAAAGUCUGGGGGAAGGUGUACAGCUGUAGAGCCGUGGAAUAGAGACAAAGACAUACCUGAGGAGAAGUGAAAAUGUGGACGAACAUGGGAAGCAGAGCAAGGAAAUAGCAGCUUAUAUGACAAAUGUAGGGCGUCCGACAACCACGUGUAAUCUCUCCAUGAAUAAACCAAAGAUAAUUACUCUUCAGCAUAUCUACGAUUCCAGUAGCAGUCAGCAGUCGAUCAUUUAAAAACCAAUUCAUUUACUGCCUAUUUUUCUCUCUCAUUUUGUUUUACCUUGGAGGCAUCCACAUUUUAAUCAUCAUUACCAUGAUCGUAAUUACCAUUCACAUCAUCAUAAUCCUAAAGACAUUAAACAAGCUGCUGCUAAUUCCUCAUGACAAAGAGCUCGGGCACAUUCACUGACUGCACUCUGUUGCUUUAAUUUGCCUUCCAUCCCAAAAUGCUUGCUCAAGUCCCCAAAAGAGCUGGCAUGGAAAGCUGACAGAUCUUUUUUUUUUUUUUUUUUUUUAAGAUUCAGAUGCAAUAAAAAAGUACAAUAAUUAAAUCAGCCAUCAUUCUGACAGUGUAAUUUAAAGAAAAUGUAUGAAAGAGAACCUUACUAUUACAAGUUUAGUGCCAAGUCAGCAUAAAUGUCAAUGCAUUUGAUUAAUUCCUCAUAAUUUGAAUUUGUAAAAUUAGUCUGUGUUCAAUUAUUAUUAUUUUUUAAAUUAUUUAUUUUAUUAAUAUAGACUGAUAAAUGAUAAAUAAAAGUGUCACAGACAGAGACAAAAGCUGAGAGGAGAUGCAGAGCAAAUAUCUAAGUUCAAUAUUUAUUUACAAAACAUUAGAUUAUGAAGUGUGGACAUCAGUAGAUCAUCGGUGUGAUGUGUGCAUGCAUGAGUGAGGGUGAUGGUGCGAUGUUGGUUGUAAAAGAAAAUGGCAAAAAGGAGCGUGGUGGGGGAGCAGCCUGCCAAAUUAACUCAGCCAAAGUUGAAUGCCUUCAGUCUGCUUUUAUAGAUUGAGACAAACUGGGCCCAUGUGUGGUCCCUCCAGGACGACCCACCAGCACCUGAAACAGAGUAGACACUGCCAGCAAAACAAGUAGAUGGGGUCGUCACACAAGUUUGACCCAAGUGCAUUGUAUAAUGGUGUUUAUGGAUUUAGCUAAUGGGCUGUUGAACAGCAGCAAUAAGUGGUAUAGAGAUUUAGAGUUUUGUAAGAUUCAUUCAUUCUCUGAGUCACAGCCAACAGAUAGAUUACACAAACUCCAAAUUUUUACUUUUUGCCCCAAUUUUUCCCUUUAGGUAAAAGUCAAACACUAAAAAUUACAAAGUUAUGGGGAAAAUAGUUGAACCGCUUUUGCCCACUCAUAUCUCUUUUUCUUGUUCUGUGGACGAAGUAGUGUUUUUUUGCAGAUACACAACCCUUCAGACCAGCCUUUCUCAAACGUAAUUUCACGGUUGUCAUAGAUAUGGGUUUCGACCUUGUCAUGUUGAUUUCCUCCCUUAUUUUUGCCGAUCUCUCUCUUACUGGUGACAACUAUGGGCUCUAUUUUCGUUCGCGCCGGUGAGGCGGCGGAGGGCGGCGAGCCCCGCGCAGUUGUAUUUUCGUCUGGUGGAGCCCGGCGUAAGGCGAGUUUGGUAUUUUCGUGGACUGAGUCGCACGGAGGCGAGCCGAGAUCCGCCAAGCUGGGCGUGGUGGCGUGGCAGGGGGAGGUGUUGACAGAAUCAGCUGGCGCAGUGACAUUUUUGUGCUCGCCACCGGCGUGUAACGUGCGCUGAAAGCUCGCCGAUUCAAACCUGGUCAGCUUUCAGCGCAAGGCGGAACGCAGCUGGUCUAGUAGUAUUUUGGUAGACCGGCGGCGUAUCGACAUACGUCACUGAUGCCUCACCGGCAGGUUUCCACAGUGUCAGGCACAUUUCAGUGCAAUAAAUAAUCAUCAACAACUAUUAAUCUGAGUCAGCACAUACAUUUAGAUCUAUAUCGAUAUAUUCUGAUCUAUAUCUGAUCUGAUGAGCGCGUUUGGCACGCGUUUGGCACGCGUUUGGGCACACAACCUGACCGAAUCAAUACAGCUGAAACUGCAUCAAAUUAAAUUAAAUAUCUAGUAAAUAAACACACAUGCUGAAGUUAACAAGAUAUGUAAUGUGUCUCCCUCCUUUUCUUUCUUCCUCUUAUUUCUCGCACAGCUCGACCUGGACACGUCUCCGUGUCCUCUGUCCGUCUUGCUUGCUGCUGCGGCUGAACAGAUGAUUUGUUUCAGUGCUCAGAUGCGUGCUCUACUUUAAGCCAACAUACAGAUAUUAUAAUAUUCAGUUUUGUGGGCCAAAUUUAUUUUAUAUGCCAACAUCUAUGAAAGAAAGAGCCAGGCCACGGAGCGCGAUGCGUCAUUUACGCACAGAUGGUUCCGAUUUUAAUGCCAUUUUUGGAGUUUAUGUUGUGAUCUGUGCGCUCAACCCACCUUUGCCACGUGAGGUUUGAAUAUAUGCAACUUUAUGUGAGUGUCUUUAUUUGUGGAAAAGGGUGUUUGUCUUACCAGUGGGUCCAACAUUACACACACCAAAUCCAUCUGUGC